CCUACGGGAGGCAGCAGUGGGGAAUAUUGCACAAUGGGGGAAACCCUGAUGCAGCGACGCCGCGUGAGUGAAGAAGUAUUUCGGAAUGUAAAGCUCUAUCAGCAGGGAAGAAAAUGAAGGUACCUGAUUAAGAAGCCCUGGCUAACUACGUGCCAGCAGCCGCGGUCAUACGUAGGGGGCAAGCGUUAACCGGAUUUACUGGGUGGAAAGGGAACGUAGACGGCAGCACAAGUCUGGAGUGAAAUGCCGGGGCUUAACCCCGGAACUGCUUUGGAAACUGGGCAGCUAGAGUGCGGGAGAGGUAAGUGGAAUUCCUAGUGUAGCAGUGAAAUGCGUAGAUAUUAGGAGGAACACCAGUGGCGAAGGCGACUAUCUGGACUGUAACUGACGUUGAUGCUCGAAAGCGUGGGGAGCAAACAGGAUUAGAUACCCGGGUAGUC
rnacentral:rRNA from 1 species